GACCGGGGCGGGCGUGCCUAAUACAUGCAAGUCGAACGAACUCUGGUAUUGAUUGGUGCUUGCAUCAUGAUUUACAUUUGAGUGAGUGGCGAACUGGUGAGUAACACGUGGGAAACCUGCCCAGAAGCGGGGGAUAACACCUGGAAACAGAUGCUAAUACCGCAUAACAACUUGGACCGCAUGGUCCGAGUUUGAAAGAUGGCUUCGGCUAUCACUUUUGGAUGGUCCCGCGGCGUAUUAGCUAGAUGGUGGGGUAACGGCUCACCAUGGCAAUGAUACGUAGCCGACCUGAGAGGGUAAUCGGCCACAUUGGGACUGAGACACGGCCCAAACUCCUACGGGAGGCAGCAGUAGGGAAUCUUCCACAAUGGACGAAAGUCUGAUGGAGCAACGCCGCGUGAGUGAAGAAGGGUUUCGGCUCGUAAAACUCUGUUGUUAAAGAAGAACAUAUCUGAGAGUAACUGUUCAGGUAUUGACGGUAUUUAACCAGAAAGCCACGGCUAACUACGUGCCAGCAGCCGCGGUAAUACGUAGGUGGCAAGCGUUGUCCGGAUUUAUUGGGCGUAAAGCGAGCGCAGGCGGUUUUUUAAGUCUGAUGUGAAAGCCUUCGGCUCAACCGAAGAAGUGCAUCGGAAACUGGGAAACUUGAGUGCAGAAGAGGACAGUGGAACUCCAUGUGUAGCGGUGAAAUGCGUAGAUAUAUGGAAGAACACCAGUGGCGAAGGCGGCUGUCUGGUCUGUAACUGACGCUGAGGCUCGAAAGUAUGGGUAGCAAACAGGAUUAGAUACCCUGGUAGUCCAUACCGUAAACGAUGAAUGCUAAGUGUUGGAGGGUUUCCGCCCUUCAGUGCUGCAGCUAACGCAUUAAGCAUUCCGCCUGGGGAGUACGGCCGCAAGGCUGAAACUCAAAGGAAUUGACGGGGGCCCGCACAAGCGGUGGAGCAUGUGGUUUAAUUCGAAGCUACGCGAAGAACCUUACCAGGUCUUGACAUACUAUGCAAAUCUAAGAGAUUAGACGUUCCCUUCGGGGACAUGGAUACAGGUGGUGCAUGGUUGUCGUCAGCUCGUGUCGUGAGAUGUUGGGUUAAGUCCCGCAACGAGCGCAACCCUUAUUAUCAGUUGCCAGCAUUAAGUUGGGCACUCUGGUGAGACUGCCGGUGACAAACCGGAGGAAGGUGGGGAUGACGUCAAAUCAUCAUGCCCCUUAUGACCUGGGCUACACACGUGCUACAAUGGAUGGUACAACGAGUUGCGAACUCGCGAGAGUAAGCUAAUCUCUUAAAGCCAUUCUCAGUUCGGAUUGUAGGCUGCAACUCGCCUACAUGAAGUCGGAAUCGCUAGUAAUCGCGGAUCAGCAUGCCGCGGUGAAUACGUUCCCGGGCCUUGUACACACCGCCCGUCACACCAUGAGAGUUUGUAACACCCAAAGUCGGUGGGGUAACCUUUUAGGAACCAGCCGCCUUAAGGUGGACCAGAAU
rnacentral:rRNA from 1 species